CACGGCUGCUGCUACCAAGGGCACUGCUGACAUCAGAUCUUCAAACUGAAGAUGAGGAGGACCAACGUCCAGCUUAUAGGAGAAGGAAGAGAAGAGGCACAAACAGAAUUUGGGACUCAGAGAGCAAAGAUGACAGCACACAUCUUCAACCCAGAGGGGUAAACACCAGGGCACCUUUAGGUUUACCCCCAGCACCAGUUAUUGCUCCUCCAACUCCCACCAGACCAGCCAUUGCUACAAGUGUCCCCAGACAAAACUUUAGCAUGGCAACCCCUGACCGGCCCAGGGUAAACAACCAGGCCAUGUCAAUUCUCCGUGACAUUUUGACAACAAUGGAGACUAUCAAGCAUCAACAGCAAAUGAUUUUGCUACAGUUGCAAACAACUCGUCAACCAAUGGAGGUGCCAGAUGUUUCUGGCAUUCCAUUAACAUCGCUGGAUGAACUGAUCAAGCUUGAGGACAGCAUUGCUUCACAGGUGGAAUACAAACGAAAAUUGGUCACCUUUUUUGGGCUGGCGGGGGGGUUGACAAUAAAGGAGACAGUGUGGAGAAUAAUGGCCAAACUAAUGACAAAUAAACUAGCAAAGCAAAUCAACUGGCGAUGGUUAAAUGGCAAGUAUGGCUUUGAGCCACUUGCCAUUAAAUAUGUUGUCCUCAGUAAGUUUUAUUUUAGUAUUAUAAGGCAGAAAUAAGAAACACCAUAAAGUAACAAACAUUUUGCCUAGUAUGCUUAUUCACUUUCCUGUCUUGUGAAUGGCCUUAACCUGCCUGUUCCAUUACGUUUUUUUGUUUGUUUCUUAAGAAUCUGUGCGAUGCAAUGCAAGUACUGCAUCUGCAUCCGAUGGAGAUGUAGAAAAGUUUAUUAAAAGGUGGCUGCAGCUUGCAUCGGACCGAGAUGGAGGAAGACGAGAGCGGGCAAUGAGACAAGCUAAUUCUUAAGUACAUCUCAAGCUUCAAAGGGGCAUGCUUGAGGAGGCUGCGGUCAUUACACACACAUACACAAAUUGUAUUUAUUCAAAUAAAUUCUUAAAAA